UUUCCCACUCGAGACUUUCGGAGGAGGUAAUGACCAGUUCCAUUGGUGCCUUUUGGUACUGUGGAUAGGGGUACGGUUUUCCACCGUACCGAAACCUAGCAGAGGGCCAGUCUGGUGCCAGCAGCUGCGGUAAUUCCAGCUCUGCGAGUUUGCUCCCAUAUUGUUGCAGUUAAAACGCCCGUAGUCUGAAUUGGCCAGCAAUGGUCGUACGUAUUUUUACGUUCACUGUGAACAAAUCAGGACGCUUAGAGUAUGGCCACAUGAAUGACUCAGCGCAGUAUGAAGUCUUUGUUUUCUUCCGAAAACAAGCUCAAUGAGAGCCAUCGGGGGUAGAUCUAUCUCAUGACGAGUGGUGGAAUACUUUGACUCAUGAGAGAGAAGCUGAGGCGAAGGCGUCUACCUAGAGGGUUUCUGUCGAUCAAGGGCGAGAGUAGGAGUAUCCAACAGGAUUAGAGACCCUGGUAGUUCCUACCUUAAACGAUGCCGACAGGAGUUUGUCAUUUGUUAAUGGCAGAAUCUUUGGAGAAAUCAUAGUUCUUGGGCUCUGGGGGAACUACGACCGCAAGGCUGAAACUUGAAGGAAUUGACGGAAGGGCACACCAGGGGUGGAGCCUGUGGCUUAAUUUGAAUCAACACGGGGAAACUUACCAGGACCAGAUGUUUUUUAUGACUGACAGGCUUCGGGUCUUUCAGGAUAUUGUUUUUGGUGGUGCAUGGCCGUUGGUGGUGCGUGGGUUGACCUGUCUAGCGUUGAUUCAGCUAACGAGCGAGAUUAUCGCCAAUUAUUUACUUUGCCGAAGUCCUUCGGUUAAAGUUCUAAUUGGGACUCCCUGCGAUUUUAGCAGGUGGAAGAAGGUAGCAAUAACAGGUCCGUGAUGCCCUUUAGAUGCUCUGGGCUGCACGCCGUGCUAC
rnacentral:ncRNA from 2 species